AUUGAACGCUGGCGGCAGGCUUAACACAUGCAAGUCGAGCGGAGAUGAGGUGCUUGCACCUUAUCUUAGCGGCGGACGGGUGAGUAAUGCUUAGGAAUCUGCCUAUUAGUGGGGGACAACAUUCCGAAAGGAAUGCUAAUACCGCAUACGCCCUACGGGGGAAAGCAGGGGAUCUUCGGACCUUGCGCUAAUAGAUGAGCCUAAGUCGGAUUAGGUAGUUGGUGGGGUAAAGGCCUACCAAGGCCACGAUCUGUAGCGGGUCUGAGAGGAUGAUCCGCCACACUUGGACUGAGACACGGCCCAGACUCCUACGGGAGGCAGCCGUGGGGAAUAUUGGACAAUGGGCGGAAGCCUGAUCCAGCCAUGCCGCGUGUGUGAAGAAGGCCUUUUGGUUGUAAAGCACUUUAAGCGAGGAGGAGGCUACCUGGAUUAAUACUCUAGGAUAGUGGACGUUACUCGCAGAAUAAGCACCGGCUAACUCUGUGCCAGCCGCCGCCGUAACAC
rnacentral:rRNA from 1 species